CUAUGACCAGGGUUUAUUUCCUCGACACAGACAAUGUUUAUUGUUUCUUUUUCUAUUCCUGUUUAGUCUUUUAAGACAGAGAGGCUUCGUAUCUGAAUUUUGUGUAACCACCUUAAAAUCGCAGACUGUAUCGUGGUAGAUCUAAUCAUUGGUUUACUUUGAAGCUGAUUUGAAGUCUGGUCUGUGGAGAUAUUGGUCUAACUUUAUUGGGGAAAAAAUACAUCAAUUUGUACCACACAGAAACACAAACUACACAUGGCUCCUCAUCUCUCCCUCCUCCUCCUCAGCUUCUCCAGACUCUCAGGUACUCAGGCAGGAGCGUACGGUGUGUCAACUGUGAGUAAGGUGUCUGUGAAGACAGGAAACUACAUCACCAUCCCAUGUCGCUAUGAUCAGAGAUACAUACAAUAUGUCAAAUACUGGUGUCAAGGAGAUUACUGGAAUUCUUGUUCUGCUCUUGUACGCACGGACCAAACAAAGAUAUCUGGGACAGUGUCCAUCUCUGAUGAUGUCACCCGAAGAAUCUUCUCUGUUAACAUGACUGAUCUGCAGCCAGAGGACUCUGGGUAUUACUGGUGUGCUGUGGAGACUGCAGGACGAGAUCAAAGUACAUACUUGCACCUGUCAGUCACCACAGGUUAGCCCUCCAUACCUCUCCUCAAUCACACUGUGUUUGAUCAUCAUAGAGAGCUGACUUAGAGAGUACAACUUGGGCUUGUAUUUUAUGCACUAUAGUAAUACUUCCAGGUCACAUGCCAUCAUCCUUUGGUUUAUUUGUUCAGUAUGACACAGCUAUGUAGCUAUUGAUUUGGGGGAGACUGUUUUAAGGCUCUAAAUACAAUGUAUUUACAUGGUUAUACAUACAGGCAGACACAAUGUAAAUAUGGAAUGGGUUUAUAUUGUAGGUAUACAUUGUUACACUGUGGACAACAGAAACACUUUAUUAUGAAGGGUAAGGACGUCAUAACACAUUCAUAAACCAUGCAUAAUGAAUUCAAAAUCACAACCUAAUCAAUCUACACACACUACCCCAUUACGACAAAACAAAAACAGGUUUACCUUAUUUCCAUACACUACCGGUCAGGUUUUACAACACCGACUCAGUCAAGAGUUGUUCUUUAGUUUUACUAUUUUAUACAUUGUAGAAUAAUAGUGAAGACAUCAGAACUAUGAAAUAACACACAUGGAAUCAUUUAUUAACCAAAAAAGUGUCAAACAAAUCAAACUAUAUUUUAGAUUUUAGAUUCUUCAAUGUAGCCACCCUUUAACUUGAGGACAGCUUUGCACACUCUUGGCUUUAUGUAUUAUACAUGUCAUUUCGAUGUUUAUACUAUACAAACAUAUUUUAUUUAAGUAUUUCUCAAAAUCCAUAUAUAGUAGACAAACCAGUUUAAAAACGAUAUGUUUACCAAACGGUUAAGUGAUUAACCAUUAAGCACCGUUGGAUUACCAAAUGUAUUUCAACAAGUGAGAAGAGAAUCAUAUGAAAAGUAUUGUGAGCAUUGCAUUGUGAGGGGCAAUUACUUUAUAUGAAAGGUGUUUAUAGAUUAAAUACUGAUUAGGUUUGGUGGAAAAAGUUACUGAGUGAUUUUGUGUGUCCUUUUUGAGGAUCUGUUUUGUACU